rnacentral:rRNA from 1 species
UACGUAGGGUGCGAGCGUUAAUCGGAAUUACUGGGCGUAAAGCGUGCGCAGGCGGUUCGUCGUGUCCGAUGUGAAAGCCCCGGGCUCAACCUGGGAAUGGCAUUGGAAACUGGCGGGCUUGAGUGUGGCAGAGGGGGGUGGAAUUCCGCGUGUAGCAGUGAAAUGCGUAGAGAUGCGGAGGAACACCGAUGGCGAAGGCAGCCCCCUGGGCUGACACUGACGCUCAGGCACGAAAGCCAAGGGAGCAAACAGG